rnacentral:piRNA from 1 species
UCUAAGCUUGAUCCAAAGGCAAUGAAGGUA